rnacentral:rRNA from 1 species
AUUGAACGCUGGCGGCAGGCUUAACACAUGCAAGUCGAGCGAGCGGCGGACGGGUGUGUAAUGUCUGGGAAACUGCCUGAUGGAGGGGGAUAACUACUGGAAACGGUAGCUAAUACCGCAUACCAUCAGAUGUGCCCAGAUGGGAUUAGCUAGUAGGUGGGGUAAUGGCUCAACUAGGCGACGAUCACUAGCUGGGCUGAGAGGAUGACCAGCCAGACUGGAACUGAGACACGGGCCAGACGCAUACGGGAGGCAGCAGUGGGGAAUAUUGCACAAGGGGCGAAAGCAUGAUGCAGCCAUGCCGCGUGUGUGAAGAAGGCCUUAGGGUUGUAAAGCACUUUCAGCGAGGAGGAGUUACUCGCAGAAGAAGCACAGGCUAACUCCGUGCCAGCAGCGGCGGUAAUUC